UGCUGGUUCCAAAAACCGGCCCGUGACUACGGAGAUCUGGCAGUGGCCACAAACAACCCAGAGCAUGCAGUGCUCAGUGAGACCCAGGGCCGAUUCCUCCUCCUUGGAGACCCCCGGACCAAGGACUGCUCCCUGGAUGCCCAGAGGAGGGACACAGGAGUAUACUUCUUUAGGUUGGAGAGAGGGCCUACUGUGAGAUAUAAAUUAUAAAUGGCAUCCGCUCUCCAUCCGUGUGACGGAUGCCCCGCAGAACCUGGAUAUUCGGGUCUUCUGGGAAAACAGCACAGGUUCAGAAGGUCACGGGGGAGUGGGGCUAGGAGGUGUGAGUAAGCCUGGUCCUUCCUGGGGGUGCUCCAGAGGCCUGUGGACAAGGAAGUGCUAGAGGACCUGGCCCCAAGCCCUACCCAGGAAUAACACCUCAUCACAUCUGGUCUCCAGGUGUCUUGCUGAUAGUUCUACAGGAAUGGUUGGGAAGGCAAGGAAGAAAUAGAUGUUCUUAUUACAAAAUUGAACUAUGCCUGAUGUAAUAGGUUUUCUUCUGUGUGCUUACCUUGGAGUGGUUUUGAUAUGCCCAUAACGCGACCCAUAAAAACAUAAUGUGUGACAGUGUUAGUUGCUCAGUCAUGUCCGAUUCUUUCCAAUCGAAUGGGCUGUAGCCCGCCA
ensembl:lncRNA